rnacentral:rRNA from 1 species
UACGAAGGGGGCUAGCGUUGCUCGGAAUUACUGGGCGUAAAGCGUGCGCAGGCGGUUUUGUAAGCCAGAUGUGAAAUCCCCGGGCUUAACCUGGGAAUGGCAUUUGGGACUGCAAGGCUCGAGUGCGGCAGAGGAGACUGGAAUUCCUGGUGUAGCAGUGAAAUGCGUAGAUAUCAGGAGGAACACCAAUUGCGAAGGCAGCUCGCUGGGACGUCACUGACGCUGAGACGCGAAAGCGUGGGGAGCAAACAGG